AUUCCAGCUCCAAGAGCGUAUAUUAAAGUUGUUGCAGUUAAAAAGCUCGUAGUUGGAUUUCUGGUACAAUGCGCCUGGCCCGCGGCAGCAAUGCCUGUGAGUGCCGGUGCGCGUUUGCCAUCCUUCUAGAAAACGUUUCUACCCUUUACUGGGCCGGACUCGCGAUCUAGAUCUUUUACUUUGAAAAAAUUAGAGUGUUCAAAGCAGGCUUUUGCUGUGAAUACAUUAGCAUGGAAUAAUAAUCUAGGACUUCGGUUUUAUUUUGUUGGUUUCUAACACUGAAGUAAUGAUUGAUAGGGAUAGUUGGGGGUGCUAGUAUUGGCCGGCCAGAGGUGAAAUUCUUGGAUUCGGUCAAGACUAACUUAUGCGAAAGCAUUCACCAAGGAUGUCUUCAUUG
rnacentral:rRNA from 1 species